UCACCUAGGGGCGCAGCAGUGAGGAAUAUUGGUCAAUGGCCGGAAGGCUGAACCAGCCAAGCCGCGUGAAGGACGAAGGUGCCAAGCAUUGUAAACUUCUUUUGUCAAGGGACAAAAUCAGGCUCGAGAGCCUGACCGAGGGUACUUGAAGAAAAAGCAUCGGCUAACUCCGUGCCAGCAGCCGCGGUAAUACGGAAGGUCCGGGCGUUAUCCGGAUUUAUUGGGUUUAAAGGGAGCGUAGGCCGGCUUUUAAGUCAGCUGUGAAAGUCCGCGGCUCAACCGUGGAAUUGCAGUUGAAACUGGAG
rnacentral:rRNA from 1 species